GAACAGUCCUGUCAUGGUUCUCCACUCCCUCUAGAGGACAGAUGAAGAGAGAGAGAGAUGGGAUCCAUGGAACAGUCCUGUCAAUGACGAUAAUAGUUAGAAUCAUUUUUUUUUGUUUCCUUCAUGUGUACCUGACUGACAUCGUGUGGUUGGUUGACGGUACUGCACCCCAGCUGCUAUUAUUGUAGCGCACCAUUCAGGCUGACGGAAUUAAAUCGUGGGUAAGAAUUGCUUCUUCACUCUUUUCCCAGGCACUUUCUUUUUCACAUAAUUAGAUCCAAAAGGUCACAGAUUAUAUAUGAACUAAUGUACAAUGUAAAUGACGUGUAAUUUGUCAUAAUGUGAAGUGUACUUUUGUUGUUUUUAAUUAAAAGUUUCCAUGCUAACUUGUUAGCUAUGCUAGCCCUCGUCCUGUUAACCAUGUUACACUGUUAGCUGGCGUGUUGUCCAAAC
ensembl:lncRNA